UUGAACGCUGGCGGCAGGCCUAACCCAUGCAAGUCGAACGGUAACAGGAAGAAGCUUGCUUCUUUGCUGACGAGUGGCGGACGGGUGAGUAAUGUCUGGGAAACUGCCUGAUGGAGGGGGAUAACUACUGGAAACGGUAGCUAAUACCGCAUAAUGUCGCAAGACCAAAGAGGGGGACCUUCGGGCCUCUUGCCAUCGGAUGUGCCCAGAUGGGAUUAGCUAGAAGGUGGGGUAACGGCUCACCUAGGCGACGAUCCCUAGCUGGUCUGAGAGGAUGACCAGCCACACUGGAACUGAGACACGGUCCAGACUCCUACGGGAGGCAGCAGUGGGGAAUAUUGCACAAUGGGCGCAAGCCUGAUGCAGCUAUGCCGCGUGUAUGAAGAAGGCCUUCGGGUUGUAAAGUACUUUCAGCGGGGAGGAAGGGAGUAAAGUUAAUACCUUUGCUCAUUGACGUUACCCGCAGAAGAAGCACCGGCUAACUCCGUG
rnacentral:rRNA from 1 species